UCCUCAUAAGUCUCUCUAACUAACCCUAAUUCUAAUCUAAUAUUGUACAAUGAUAAAAACUAGUCCUCCCUCUCAUAAUAUAUGUCUUUUAAUAUUUAAAAUAUAUAUAUAAAUAAAACUCCAAAACCAAGUAGGAUUUAGUCUCAAAAUUCGCAGCUUUCUGUUCUGUCCAGUUUUCGGGCUUUUCCAGUUGGACUUUGCAUCUUGGACCACUUCUGAAUUAAAGGAAAUAUCAAGGGCUUCGCGUGGGCUGUAAGAUCGUCCAAAUCCGACAUCUGGAACUCAAGAUAUGGCCCAAACAGUGUAGAAAUCGGGUAAAACCCAAUAAAUCCGAAUUUUAAUAGAAAUUAGCUCCAAAGUAGCUAAUUUAUCUUCAAAUCCUUCUCAACUUGGAAUUCUUUAUUUCCUACAAUAAAACAAUAAAAUCUAUUAAAUAAAUAUCCAAAUCAGUGCAAAAUAUAAUUAAAUAUGAGAAUAAAAUCAUAUAGAAUAUAUAUAAAAAUAUAUUCUAUCACAUAUUAAUGAUAAUGUUGGUUUAGGUAAUUUUCUAUAUUUAUAAUUUUUAGACUAUUGGAUAGCCAGUAUGGAAGUAGAGUUUUGGGAAUGAACGGCAAUAUGGAUGCUUCACACAAUGUGUGUUGAAUAGUGAGUAUGGAAGUAGGCGUUUUGGAGAUGAAUGGCCGUAGGGGUGGGAAAUAAAACUUGAAGCUAAAAACCAUGAUCGUGUAUUCGUGUUGAUGUAGGUAAAAAUUAAUUGUUAAAGACAGAGAUGAAUGAUAGAAACUGAAACAAUUCACAGAGCUCACAAUUUUGAAAAAUAAGCAAUUUUUUUAGUGUAAUGAGCUUAAUAAAAUGAUUGUCUUUGUCAUACCAAAAAAGGGAUUCAUGAGCUUCGAAAACGAAAAGAGGCAAAGAAAGUAUUAAGGGCAAAUAUUGUAGCAAAUUCAGUAGUUGCAACAUCAGGUGCUCAGCAGCCAUGGAGCUCCAGACAUAAUAUCUUGUUAUUUUGAAUGUGCGCUACUUGCCUCAUCCUCAGUGAGAUGUUGCAGACAUUUUCCCUUCAAAUUGUAACAGUGAUCUGCUUGUCGUGGCAAAACUCUCGUUCUGCACGUUUGUUUUUGAGGUGUGGGGAGGAGGGCGAUCAGGUCUGACAAUGCUCCUGUCCAUUUUUUGCGUCAGUGCAGAACCAUUGAAGCUGAUUUAUAGUGUUAGUAACUUUGAGGAGUGUGGGAAGGAAAAGUGAGACCUGAGCUUUCCAGAUACGCGUUCACGUUAAUUCAGCCAUUUGUUCUUCACAAUUGUCAGUUGAUUGCCACAAAUUCCCACUUUCUGGCUAGCAUCAAUUUUCAGUUGAGGACACCCCUAACAAUAAUGAAAUCUGCCAGAAUUAACUGUGACACAAGGACUCACAACUCACAAGUCCGCAGAUAGUAGCAAGUGUACUGUGGUAGAUUGAUCAACUAGAAAUUAACUGAUUGCAGAAGUAUCGUGUUUGUUUUUUCUGGAUUGGAU
rnacentral:lncRNA from 1 species